AACGCAUCUUGCGCCCUUUGGUAUUCCUUGGGGCACACCUGUUUGAGUGUCAUGUACAUCUCGACUGGCUAUUUUUUGUAGCUGGCUCGGUUUUGGAGAGUUGCCGGGUUGCAUGAUCUGGCUCUUUCCCGAAUUCAUUAGUCAAGGUUUCAACCACUUGCAUUGGCGUAGCAAAGCUUUCGCCGCAUAUACUGUGGUAUAUAACUUUGGCUCUCUAAAGCCCAAAUUUUUGUGUUUUGACCUCAAAUCAGGUGGGACUACCCGCUGAACUUAA
rnacentral:misc_RNA from 1 species